rnacentral:rRNA from 1 species
UACGUAGGGUGCGAGCGUUAUCCGGAAUUAUUGGGCGUAAAGCGUCCGCAGGUGGCACCUCAAGUCUGCUGUCAAAGACCGGGGCUUAACCCCAGAAAGGCAGUGGAAACUGAAGUGCUAGAGUGCAGUAGGGGUAGAGGGAAUUCCCGGUGUAGCGGUGAAAUGCGUAGAGAUCGGGAAGAACAUCGGUGGCGAAAGCGCUCUGCUGGACUGCAACUGACACUCAGGGACGAAAGCUAGGGGAGCGAAUGGG